CGGUAGUUUCGAGUCCUGGACUCAGAUACAACGCUGGCGGCGUGCCUAACACAUGCAAGUCGAACGCGAAAGCCCCGAAAGGGGUUAGUAGGAGUGGCAAACGGGUGAGUAACGACGUGGGUGACCUGCCUUAGAGUGGGGAUAACGUCCCGAAAGGGACGCUAAUACCGCAUAACAUCCUGCCUUUGAAGAGGUGGAGAUCAAAGCUGGGGACCGCAAGGCCUGGCGCUCAAAGAGGGGCCCGCGCCUGAUUAGCUAGUUGGUGGGGUAAUGGCUCACCAAGGCAACGAUCAGUAUCCGGCCUGAGAGGGCGGACGGACACACUGGGACUGAGACACGGCCCAGACUCCUACGGGAGGCAGCAGUGGGGAAUUGUUCGCAAUGGGCGCAAGCCUGACGACGCAACGCCGCGUGGAGGAUGAAGACCUUCGGGUCGUAAACUCCUUUCGAUCGAGACGAACAGCCAUCGGAUGAACAAUCCGGAGGUCUGACGGUACCGAGAGAAGAAGCCCCGGCUAACUCCGUG
rnacentral:rRNA from 1 species